rnacentral:tRNA from 1 species
GGAGAUGUAGUUUGGUGGUAGAGUGCAUGCUUUGUAUGUAAGAGGUCCUGGGUUCAAUCCCUAGCAUCUCCA